rnacentral:ribozyme from 1 species
CGGAAAGCAACGAAUAGUCAGUUUAGUCUUCUGUUCUUUCAAACCAUCCCCGUUCAGGAAAGUCUUCUGAUGAAGAACGAACAACGGACAACCUCACAAAACUUCUCAAGGUUUUCGGAAGAAAGAACUUGGAGACCCAAUGCCGUCGUGGGAACCCCAAACA